rnacentral:rRNA from 1 species
UACGUAGGGUGCGAGCGUUGUCCGGAAUUAUUGGGCGUAAAGAGCUCGUAGGCGGUGUGUCACGUCGGCCGUGAAAACCUGCAGCUUAACUGUGGGCGUGCGGUCGAUACGGGCAUCACUGGAGUUCGGCAGGGGAGACUGGAAUUCCUGGUGUAGCGGUGAAAUGCGCAGAUAUCAGGAGGAACACCGGUGGCGAAGGCGGGUAGCUGGGCCGACACUGACGCUGAGGCGCGAAAGCCAGGGGAGCGAACGGG